AUAGCUUCAGCCAUGAGUCACGCUUCGUAGGUUUGGCAAAGUGAUUGGUGAAGGUUUGGCAAAGCGUAGCGGACGGACUGGUAUUGACUUGUUUUCUCAAAUAGCUUUUGUUGGUAUGACUUCUUCCUUUUUCUUCUUCCUCUUCUUCUUCUAGUAUUCAGCAAAUCAACAAACGACUUUCUUGUAUUAACUAUGGUAAGAUGAAGCACCACAGAAACUAUAA
rfam:Glossina palpalis gambiensis isolate 146720 unplaced genomic scaffold Scaffold273, whole genome shotgun sequence.